CUACAACGUGAUCCCCGUCUCUGUGUAAGGGAGAGUUUUUCCCGCCAGCCUCUACGAAGUGAAAUAUUAGCCAAUCACAGGCAUUAUUAGGUCUUGGUAGAAGCACGCUGCAUGCUGAUUUGCUCGCUGACGCUGAUGAGAUUUCUUCUGCUGGUA